AGAGAAUAGAUACCCAGGUAGUCCACGCCGUAAACGAUGGAAGCUAGCCGUUGGUAAGCAUGCUUAUCAGUGGCGCAGCUAACGCAUUAAGCUUCCCGCCUGGGGAGUACGGUCGCAAGAUUAAAACUCAAAGGAAUUGACGGGGGCCCGGCACAAGCGGUGGAGCAUGUGGUUCAAUUCGACGCAACGCGAAGAACCUUACCAGCCCUUGACAUGUCCAGGACCGGUCGCAGAGACGCGACCUUCUCUUCGGAGCUUGGAACACAGGUGCUGCAUGGCUGUCGUCAGCUCGUGUCGUGAGAUGUUGGGUUAAGUCCCGCAACGAGCGCAACCCUCGUCCUUAGUUGCCAUCAUUUAGUUGGGCACUCUAAGGAGACUGCCGGUGAUAAGCCGCGAGGAAGGUGGGGAUGACGUCAAGUCCUCAUGGCCCUUACGGGCUGGGCUACACACGUGCUACAAUGGCGGUGACAAUGGGCAGCGAACCAGCAAUGGGGAGCUAAUCUCAAAAACGCCGUCUCA
rnacentral:rRNA from 1 species